rnacentral:RNase_P_RNA from 6 species
UGUUCAUUACAGAUGAUCGCUCCGACUUUACGUCGGAUAGGAAAGUCCGAACUUCCUCUGAUUUUAUCAGAAAAAGUGUAGUGGGUAACACCCAUCGGUAUACUGGCGACAGUAUAUUAGGGAUAGCGCCACAGAGACAAUAAUAUUCCGAUUUCAUCGGAAGAAAGGUGAAAAGUGUUUAGGUGUUUUUGAUCUCGAGUCAAAAGCUACUAAACUCACUGUAUGGAAACAUACGGUUGCGGCAAGCCCUACACGGAAGAAAGAACAGCGUUGUAGUAUUUUACUACUUCGAAAAGUUAGUUCGUUUGAUCCCGACAGUAAUGUCGGGACUAGAGAAAUGAUCAUCGCCUUUGUCUGUCUUAAACGACAGACCAAGGAACAAAAUUCGGCUUAUCGUAAUGAGCAAGAU